CCUACGGGGGACAGCAGUGGGGAAUAUUGGACAAUGGGGGGAACCCUGAUCCAGCCAUGCCGCGUGUGUGAAGAAGGCCCUCGGGUUGUAAAGCACUUUCAGUGAGGAAGAACGCCUGGUGGUUAAUACCCAUCAGGAAAGACAUCACUCACAGAAGAAGCACCGGCUAACUCCGUGCCAGCAGCCGCGGUAAUACGGAGGGUGCGAGCGUUAAUCGGAAUUACUGGGCGUAAAGCGCGCGUAGGUGGCUUGAUAAGCCGGUUGUGAAAGCCCCGGGCUCAACCUGGGAACGGCAUCCGGAACUGUCAAGCUAGAGUGCAGGAGAGGAAGGUAGAAUUCCCGGUGUAGCGGUGAAAUGCGUAGAGAUCGGGAGGAAUACCAGUGGCGAAGGCGGCCUUCUGGACUGACACUGACACUGAGGUGCGAAAGCGUGGGUAGCAAACAGGAUUAGAUACCCGAGUAGUC
rnacentral:rRNA from 1 species